rnacentral:rRNA from 1 species
UACGUAGGGGGCAAGCGUUGUCCGGAUUUAUUGGGCGUAAAGAGCGUGUAGGCGGCUUUACAGGUCCGUUGUGAAAACUCGAGGCUCCAACCUCGAGACGCCGGUGGAAACUGCAAAGCUAGAGUCCGGAAGAGGAGAGUGGAAUUCCGUGGUGUAGCGGUGAAAUGCGGCAGAUAUCAGGAAGAACACCCGUGGCGAAGGCGGCUCUCUGGGACGGUACUGACGCUGAGACGCGAAAGCGUGGGGAGCGAACAGG